AUGAACACGAACGGGGAUCGAUCUGCGGGAUCCGCCAUGGAAGAAGACGAGGAGGGGAGGCCUCGCUUCUUCAAGGUCCUCGUCGGCGACUUCGCCCGUCGCCUCGAGAUACCUCGAGACUUCCUCGGUUACAUUCCAGAGGUGGGCCUCAGGGGUUCCAACAUUUCACCUGUUCAAGCCAUGCUUAAGCGUCCAGAAGGGAAGACUUGGGUUGUUGAGCUAGAGAAGGUUGACCGCUGUGUAUUUCUGACCACCGGAUGGCCCAAGUUUGUGGUGGACAAUUCUUUGAGGGAAUAUGAGUUCCUACUCUUCAGACAUGACAAGAAAAUGGAUUUCAUGGUUUCGAUUUUUGGUCGGAAUGCUUGUGAGAAAGCAGUCCGGUCUUCAGGAAGUGCUACUGAAAGUCUAGAAAGGAUACUCCCCACUUGUAAGCGAGGACAUAGUGGUGAUGAACUAACGAAGACCACCAAUAAUCUCAGGCAGAGUCACUCACUGGUUAUGGUACCAGAUCAAUCUGAUACAAAAAUAUUUCCCUUCCAAGGGAGUACUCAGGGUAAUGGACAUAUCUCUCCACAGAGCUUCGCUGACAUACAUCUUCAUGAAGUAGAUGGUUUGAAGGACGAGUUAAAGAUAUACUUAUUGUUGAAGGUGCCAAUGGAUGAUGAUAAAGCUAAAGUAAUAGCUGAAGUAAUGAGCAGAUUGCAUGUUGACAGAGCUACAGUUGACUUAUUCUGUGCUACACUCUGUUUGUAUAAGUGGGACUCAGAUGCAGCUGCAGAGGUUUUGAACACAUGUAGAGGCAAACCACAAAUUCCGAACCAGUUUCUAAAGCAGAAACUUGUUCUGCAACUUGAUUUUAUAAAGAGGGAACUACGACACUUCUUCCCCACAGGGGAUGAUUGUCCUCCUCAAAUAUGUGAUAGCAGGGAGAGCAGUCUUGAGGAGCCUAACUUGUCGACUCAGGCACUACAAAUUUACCUGCCAGCAGUGAAGAGCAAGCUAGUUGACGACCAUGAGUUAUGUGAUUUGUCGUACAAACAGAAGAGGAGAAUAGUCAAGUCGCGAUCACAGCAAAUUUCUGAAACACCACGAAGAUCACCACGACUGGCACACUUGAAGAAUUCCGGUGGCAGCAUAGAUAGUGGAUUGAAAGAAAAACCUGAAGUGUUAGAAUCAUCACCAUCCAGUAGAAUUGAUCAGGUGGAGCACAGAGCAGGGCAUGCGUGUUUACUCUACGAGAAACCAGAGCAUGUUUUGAAAGGAGAUCGCCAGCAUGCUAUAGGUUCCUUAUCUCAAGACUUCAAGAGACUCAAACGAACACGAGGUGAGGUGAGCCUAAGUAAGAAACCUCAGCAUAAUCAAGAAAAUGAGGAGAAAAUAGAUCAAGGAAAUAAUGGAGAAAUCUUUGAAGAGCAAGUCGAUAGAAAUGCUGCAGAGAGUUCUGAGUUGUUCAUGGGGAGGGAUUGGAUAGACUCGUCACCGCCGACCAAGUCCAAGUUGUCAUCUAUGAUAAUAAAUGAGUUAAGUUUGACAUGGAAGCCCUCAGUACACACCAAUUCCCUCGAAACUGUGUUACUUCAUAUUCAACGUGACAACUUUAUGAAGACCAUCACACACGUUCAGGGAAUCAUUUGCAGUUCUCCUUCAGACCUACAUUGUGCGGCUAUAAUUGAAGCUGUUGUGCAGAAAGAAAUUCUUAAGUGGGAUUCAUGUCUUCAGGAUGUUGAUGCUCAAAGGGUAGUGAUUGCAUUACUGGAGCAUGCUAAAAAAAUCAAGGAGAUUCACAAUUUCAAUAUGGAGAGCCGGAAGGAAGAGUUUUCCACAAAGCUACAAGAUCAGCUGAAGUGGCAGCUCAAAGAACUGGAAAGCGCAUGCACUUCCUUGGAAUUUGAUUACAAGAAAGUAACAUGUGAUGGUAACAUCGCUGUCUCGACAUCGCAAGAACAGAAGAAAAAAUUGCAUGCCCUUCAGGAUGAGAUCAAAGGCUUGCAGCAGUCCAUGAUGAUGGAGGAUGAAAUACAGAAAUUGGUGCAUCAAGUUGCUGAGCAUGAGAGCUUAGUACAGAAGUCUUUAAUGGAAAGAGUAAGGGUUAAGACGGUUCUAAAGAGCUAUAAGCAGGUUCUUGCCGAAGUAAAAGAGCGGCUAGCCUCUGAUGAACUUCGAUUAAUUGAUGUCGAUGCAUUGGUCAAGGUAGAGAUGGAUAACUUGAGGAAGGAGAUCGAGAUAUCCAAAGGAAGACUCCUAAAUAUCAUUUUCAAGUAA
rnacentral:rRNA from 1 species